rnacentral:rRNA from 1 species
GGUUUGAUUAUGGCUCAGAUUGAACGCUGGCGGGAUGUUUACACAUGCAAGUCGAACGGCAGCACGGACUUCGGUCUGGUGGCGAGUGCGGCGAACGCAGGUGAGUAAUGUAUCGGAACGUGCCUAGUAGCGGGGGAUAACUACGCGAAAGCGUAGCUAAUACCGCAUACGCCCUUCGGGGGAAAGCGGGGGACCUUCGGGCCUCGCACUAUUAGAGCGGCUGAUAUCGGAUUAGCUAGUUGGUGGGUAACGGCUCACCAAGGCGACGAUCCGUAGCUGGUUUGAGAGGACGACCAGCCACACUGGGACUGAGACACGGCCCAGACUCCUACGGGAGGCAGCAGUGGGGAAUUUGGACAAUGGGGAAACCCUGAUCCAGCCAUCCUGCGUGUGCGAUGAAGGCCUUCGGGGUUGUAAAGCACUUUUGGCAGGAAAGAAACGGCACGGGAUAAUACCCCGUGCAACUGACGGUACCUGCAGAAUAAGCACCGGCUAACUACGUGCCAGCAGCCGCGGUAAUACGUAGGGUAAGUUGUUAAUCGGAAUUACUGGGCGUAAAGCGUGCGCAGGUUAUUCGGAAAGAAAGAUGUGAAAUCCCAGAGCUUAACUUUGGAACUGCAUUUUUAACUACCGAGCUAGAGUGUGUCAGAGGGAGGUGGAAUUCCGCGUGUAGCAGUGAAAUGCGUAGAUAUGCGGAGGAACACCGAUGGCGAAGGCAGCUCCCUGGGGAUAACACUGACGCUCAUGCACGAAAGCGUGGGGAGCAAACAGGAUUAGAUACCCUUGGUAGUCCACGCCCUAAACGGAUGUCAACUAGCUGUUGGGGCCUUCGCCUUGGUAGCGCAGCUAACGCGUGAAGUUGACCGCCUGGGGAGUACGGUCGCAAGAUUAAACCGUGCGACUGACGGGGACCUGCACAAGCGGUGGAUGAUGUGGAUUAAUUCGAUGCAACGCGAAAACCUUACCUACCCUUUGACAUGUCUGGAAUCCCGAAGAGAUUUGGGAGGCGCUCGCAAGAGAACCGGAACACAGGUGCUGCAUGGCUGUCAGCUCGUGUCGUGAGAUGUUGGGUUAAGUCCCGCAACGAGCGCAACCCCGUCAUUGCUGCUACGAAAGGGCACUCUACCGAAAGAGACUGCCGGUGACAAACCGGAGGAAGGUGGGGAUGACGUCAAGUCCUCAUGGCCCUUAUGGGUAGGGCUUCACACGUCAUACAAUGGUCGGGACAGAGGGUCGCCAACCCGCGAGGGGAGCCAAUCCCAGAAACCCGAUCGUAGUCCGGAUCGCAGUCUGCAACUCGACUGCGUGAAGUCGGAAUCGCUAGUAAUCGCGGAUCAGCAUGCUGCGGUGAAUACGUUCCCGGGUCUUGUACACACCGCCCGUCACACCAUGGGAGUGGGUUUGUACCAGAAGUAGUUAGCCUAACCGUAAGGAGGGCGAUUACCACGGUAGGAUUCAUGACUGGGGUGAAGUCGUAACAAGGUAG